rnacentral:rRNA from 1 species
AGGGCACCACCAGGAGUGGAGCCUGCGGCUUAAUUUGACUCAACACGGGGAAACUCACCCGGCCCGGACACCGUAAGGAUUGACAGAUUGAUAGCUUUUUCAUGAUUCGGUGGAUGGUGGUGCAUGGCCGUUCUUAGUUCGUGGAGCGAUUUGUCUGGUUUAUUCCGAUAACGAGCGAGACUCUAGCCUACUAAAUAGUCCGCACAUUGCUUUGUGUUGUGGUACUUCUUAGAGGGAUUUUCGGUGUACAGCCGCACGAAAUUGAGCAAUAACAGGUCUGUGAUGCCCUUAGAUGUCCGGGGCUGCACGCGCGCUACACUGGCAAAAUCAGCGUGCUUGUCCUUUCCCGAAAGGGAUUGGUAAACCAUUGAAAAUUUGCCGUGAUUGGGAUUGGAAAUUGCAAUUAUUCUCCGUGAACGAGGAAUUCCAAGUAAGUGCGAGUCAUCAACUCGCGUUGAUUACGUCCCUGCCCUUUGUACACACCGCCCGUCGCUGCCCGGGACUGAGCCAUUUCGAGAA